rnacentral:rRNA from 1 species
AUGUGCGAUCCAAGGAGAAAAGCACUGCCUCAAAUUCCUAACAUUGGCAAGCUAACUUCACUUCAACAGUUUCAGAAAUUUUCUGUGCAAAAGAAAAUGGGAUAUGAAUUGCAACAGCUGAGGGAUAUGAACGAGAUUCGUGGCAGUUUAAGUGUCACAAAUCUUGAGAAUGUCACUGGGAAGGAUCAAGCCUUAGAAUCGAAGCUGAAUCAGAAAAGUCAUCUUGGCAGCCUGCGACUUGGAUGGUGUUGCAAGAAUAACACCAAUGGAGAGGAUAGUUCACAUUUGGAGAUUUUAGAAGGCCUGAUGCCGCCACCUCAACUUGAGAAUCUUACAAUUGACGGUUACAAUUCUUCAAAAUAUGCAGGUUGGUUACUUGAUGGUUUGUAUUUUGAGAAUUUAGAAUCUUUGAGGUUUGAAAAUUGCAGCGCAUUACAAGGCCUACCAUCCAACACUGAGCUAUUUGGGAAUUGCUCUUCACUUACCCUCUUCAAUGUGCCAAACCUGAAGACAUUACCUUGUCUUCCACUGGGCCUUACAUGGUUAGGAAUAUCCAACUGCCCACUGCUUAUAUUUGUUUCCAAUGAUGAGCUGGAACAUCGAGAACAGAGCGAGAAUAUCAUGCGUAUAGACCACUUGGCGUCACAACUUGGUUUACUCUGGGAGGUGGAUUCAGGAUCAGAUAUUAGGAGAAUACUCUCAUCGGAACAUUCAUUUCUGAAGCAGCUGAUGAUAUUGAUGCAUGCUGAUGUCUCACGUGUUCAUAACCUUGGAAGUGUCCUUGGAAGAAAGAAAAAUAAAGUGGUUAAAGAGGAUAUCAUCAACGCAUGGAUACACUGUCACGGGCAGAUGAUGAGUCUCGUGCAUGGAAGGAGCAUUAGGCUGCCACUGGUUCCACCAUCGGGACUUCGUGGGCUUUCUCUUUCUUCAUGCAGUAUUACAGAUGAAGCUCUAGCUGUUUGCCUUGAUGGCCUCACUUCACUGAAAAGUUUGUCCUUACAAAAAAUUACGACUUUAACCACACUUCCUUCAGAAGAGGUCCUCCAACAUUUGACAAAACUUCACCGCUUGCUCAUUGUAAGUUGCUGGUGUCUCAGGUCAUUAGGGGGUUUACAAGCUGCUACCUCUCUUUCAGAUGUUAGAUUGAGUUCCUGCCCUUCUUUGGAGUUGGCACAUGGAGCAGAAUGUUUGCCAUUGUCCCUUGAGAAACUCAGUAUAGACAAUUGUGUGCUUGAAGCUGACUUUUUCUGUGCUGACUGGCCACACGUGAAUGGUAUUCUCGUAUCAAAUUGUAGAAGCAGCGCAUGCUUAUCUGUUGGUAGUCUCACAUCUGUUGAAUCAUUCACACUGUAUCAUUUGCCAGAUUUAUGUACGCUCGAAGGAUUGUCUUCCCUCCAACUUCACCACGUACAUUUGAUUGAUGUUCCGAAACUCACGCCUGAGUGUGUCUCGCAGUUUCGAGUCCAGAAGUCACUCUAUGUUAGCAGUCCUGUAAUACUCAACAAUGUGCUCUCGUCUGAAGGUUCCAUCGUUCCAGAAUUUCUCUCUCUUGAAGGAUGCAAGGAACCAUUUGUUUCGUUGGAAGAAUCUGCAAAUUUCACAUUAGUCAAGACCCUGAGAUUCUGUGGUUGUCGAAUGAUUUCCCUGCCAACAAAUCUGAAGUCCUUCUCCAAUCUGAAGAGGCUCGAUAUUUAUAGCUGCCCCAGCAUAUCAUCUUUACCAGAUUUGCCAUCCUCCCUCCAGCACAUAAGUGUAUGGUAUUGUAGUGAGCUCUUGAAGGAGAACUGCGGAGCACCUGAUGGAGAAAGUUGGCCAAAGAUCGCGCAUAUCCGCUGGAAGGAAUUUAGAGAUAAACUGAUUUAG